GCUUGCUUCUCCUUGAGUCCUGUCCAAGACACAAAAGGAACAAAAGUGGCAUUGAGAAGAGAAAAUGAAUGCUCACAGGAAAAACUUGCUCAAGCUCAUUCCACUAAUCACACUGAUGAUGCCACUGAGGCCACCAUCGCUACUGCUGUGCCCACAUGGUUGAUGUCAGUGGGAAAUAGGGCCAACCUACAGCAGGGCAGUCUUUCCACAUGUACCCUCAGACUGAAGCGCUUAUCACCAUGGG